CCUACGGGAGGCAGCAGUAGGGAAUAUUGCUCAAUGGGGGAAACCCUGAAGCAGCAACGCCGCGUGGAGGAUGAAGGUUUUCGGAUUGUAAACUCCUUUUGUUAGAGAAGAUAAUGACGGUAUCUAACGAAUAAGCACCGGCUAACUCCGUGCCAGCAGCCGCGGUAAUACGGAGGGUGCCAGCGUUACUCGGAAUCACUGGGCGUAAAGAGGGCGUAGGCGGGAUAGCAAGUCAGCUGUGAAAUCCUAUGGCUUAACCAUAGAACUGCAUUUGAAACUGUUAUUCUAGAGUAUGGGAGAGGUAGGUGGAAUUCUUGGUGUAGGGGUAAAAUCCGUAGAGAUCAAGAGGAAUACUCAUUGCGAAGGCGACCUGCUAGAACAUAACUGACGCUGAUGCGCGAAAGCGUGGGGAGCAAACAGGAUUAGAUACCCGAGUAGUC
rnacentral:rRNA from 1 species